UAUUUUAGUCUUGUUAGAGGAACCUGUUUUAUAAUCGAUAAACCACGUAUAUUUCACUUAUUUUAAAUAAUUUGUAUACCGUCAUUAUUAGAUAACUUUUAAAAAAUUAGUUAUUAAAAUUAAAUAAAACCUAAAUAUAUUAGAUCAAGGUGCAGUUAAUAAAUAAGAAAAAAUGGGUUACAAUAAAAUUUAUUUAAAACGAAUUAUAUAAAUGUAAAAAUAUAUGAAGGAGGAUUUAAUUGUAAUUUAUUAUAAAAUAAUAAUAUGAUAAUAGCUCUAAAAUAU
rnacentral:rRNA from 1 species